UGGGAAAUUACAACCAGUGGGGUCGGUCC
rnacentral:piRNA from 1 species